UCAGAUGUAGCUUAGUGGUAGAGUACUUGCCUAGCAUGCAUGAAACUGAGGGUUCAGUCCUCUGGACUGAA
rnacentral:tRNA from 1 species